UAUCCCAAGACUCAUCUGUCAUCACAUAAAGCUAGAUUUGUUUCAUAGCUAGUGCUUAUAAUGGAAAUGGCUGAAGAGGCUGCGUUAGGAACCGCUUUUGGACUUCUAAUUCAAGCAAUUCUGACUGCAAAAGAAAAGGCAAUUUUCUUCAGGAAAACCCUUCAAAAUCUCCAGGACACGAUUGAGAAGGUGGAUCCGAUCAUUCGCGAAGUCCUGAGGUUGGAAAAUGCUCCUACUGAUGCAUGCAGUAGGUUUGUCCAGCUGUUGGAGAAAGCAAAGAUGCUUGUUGAAAUGUACUCGGACAUGAAGAAGUGGAAGCUUCUCAAGAAGCGGAAAGUCAAGAAGCUGAUUCAAGAAAUCGAAGCUUCUGUUCAAAGGCUUAU
rnacentral:misc_RNA from 1 species